UUCAGCUCUGUCUGGGGACAAAAGUGGCCCCAGGAGGACCUGGAGCUUCUUGCCACUCCAGGGAUGCAUUUUGCUGCUCUCCAGCAUCCAUAACCUACAGAAACGGGGAUUUCCCCUUCCCCUUUCAGCUGGACAAAACCUCUCGGGAUUGUGUUCUCCAAGGUCAAUUUUUUUGGGACCCCAGAGGGAUAUUCCAAGCUGUCACAGGAAGAAGGAAUGGAAAUAAUUUUGUUACUUAAUCUUUAUUUUAUUUUUUGCAGAUCUUAGAGUUUAUAUUAAAAUCAAGAGAAAAUUAGUCUUAUUCCCACGUUCUAUACAUUGUAGGGAAUAUUUCUAUGAUUUACAGUCAGAGAGCGCAGAUUCUUGAAUUGAUGCCUUUUACUGGUGGUGCUUUUCUACAGAGUUUAUGUGACACUGCUUCACUUUUCUGUCUGAGUCCUCCUGAUAAUAUUUAUGGCAAUCUCUGAGCCAUUAUUUUGAACACAUGCAGAGGAAAUGGUGAGUUGAUCAGAUGUUUUUUCAGAAAUCAGCCUGACAAUUCCCAGUUCCCAGGACUUUAUCACCCUGGCUGCCACAAUCUGAGCUCUGCAUUGCUGAAACAGUCAGAUAACCAGCAGAGAAAGGGAACCAUCUCCAAAGCCUGAGCUGGAGAUCAAAUCUGACUUUUUAUAGAGGUACGUGACAGAUCUGAAAUGGAUAUUAUUCCAAUCCAUUACAAAGAGGAAACAGAGAAGUUGAAUGGGAAUGGAGUGAAAACCAUUUCUUAAAUGCAGCUGGAGAGUUGUACUUGAAAAGCAUCUGGAUGAUUUUGAAGUCCAGGUUUUAAAGGUUGUAAAUGAGCAUCCAAGUUCUGCAAUACAAACUGAAAAGCCAACUCAUCAAAUUCACAAGUUAUUUCCAGCUUUUUUUCUUCAAUGACUGUGCAGAAACAUGGAAUAAAUCCAGAAACUCGUGCUGGUUUACUCUGAAAUUGAUUCAGAUUUUUUAAAAUUCUGCCUCAUUCAGGACCUGCAGAGACUGCUCUGGUGGGAAUGGUUUUUUCACACUCCUGAAGGUGGAGCUGCAGGGAUGGAGGGAAUGUUGAUGCAGCUGUUCUGCUAAAGGGCAGAAAUGAAAACGAUCUGUGGUUCCUAUUUUUGGAGUUUGUACCAAUGCUACCCAUGAUGGAAAGUGCUGGAAAUCAAAACAGUGAAAAAGCCAAAGCAGUGUGACCUCAGACUCACAAGGAAGGGAGAAUAUCUUAAACUUGUCAUGGUGGUGUCUGUCUGGAAAGAAAUUAAUCUUGGAGCUUUGCCCCUCCAAACCUCUCUUGAAAACAAUCUUUAAUCCUCACCCAAGUCCUGGUGCCAUGGUACACAUCAAAGUGACUUCAGAGCAGGUGAUUUCUGGAGUUCUCAUGCUGGGAAUGGUUUCUGGAGUUCUCAUGAUGGGAAGAGCCUUCUCCUGCCCAGGAGCAGGGUGAACAAGCUCAUGUAAGAAAUGUGUAGAGCCUGCAGCGACCCCAGCCUGCACUGCUGUGAUGUGUGAGCUGAGACAGAACUUGCACUGAGAUUUAAGAGGUGCACACGGAUAGCUCAGUGAAGAGGAAUUCCCGUGCUGGCCCCGUGUGAUUAUCUGAGCAGCCCCUUGCAGGAACUGGAAAUGCCUGUCCUGAGAUUCCCACCCCCAUCAACUCCACACAUUGUGAGGAAAACCCAGCUUAACAUUUUCAUUGAUGUCUUCAGGUUUUCUGUUUUGGUCUUACUCACUUGGAUACCUGGGAGCAGAACUCAGCCUGGAGAAGUUUUCACUGUGUCACUUGCAGGGAAAUCUCCUCACGAGCUGCUGGAACCUCCAGAGUCCAUCCCAGCUUCAGCCAUCCUGGGAUUCUGUAUGAAGUUAUUGUAAUAUUUCAAAACUAAGUUGCAGUUUUUAGGUAUUUUUUUAAGAAAAGGAUCAUUAUCUCCUCUCCUGGAACCAUCCAUAUGUUUCUGGAUAAAGGAAGAUGAAAAUUGGCUGCCUUUUCAAAGGCUAAUUCAAGAAACUUCCAAAGUCUUCUGUUCUUUCUACUGAUCCAUCAACAUUUUCAUAGACCAACUGUUUUCUUUUCAAGCUGUGUAUUUGGAACAGCUUGAAUUUGACAGAUCAGAUUUGUGAAAAGCCAUAAAAGAGAAGAAUCUCCAUCUCCUCCUGCCUUCAGCCUCACCCCAGUGUGGACAUUACCCUUAUUUGUGUGCUCUGUGGGCUGGGGCACACCAAAGGCACGAGUUCUCCAGCAUUUUAUCCCUAAUGGUGGCCAAUAAUUGGCGCCAAGGAAAUAUAUAAAGGAAAAAACAUUUCAGCCACCUCCUGCUCCCAGAUUUAUGGAGCCUCGUAGCCUUUCCACUUGUGCCACUUUAUUUCCUGGGUAUUUUGCAAAAUUUACUUGGCAGUGCUUGGCCAUGGUGAAAAAUGUUAUCUUUAAGUAGAAACCUGGUUUGGAGGCUUUGUGCACUCCCACCAGGAUGUCAGGAAAAUCUACCUGAUCAUCACAGGUUCUGGUUCCUUUUUUCAUUGCUCACCAUGGCAGAAAGUAAUUUUAUUAAAACUAUGAUAACACCGGUUUAUUAUCCUAGUAGAAAAAGAAAUCUUUCUGAAUUUUAAGGGCAAGGUGAAUUCAUAGGAAAAAGUUUGCACUUAUCAUAAGUAAAACCUAUGUACCAGGUCAUGUGUAAAUAUAUGUUUGAUUAGCCAAAGCUCUUUGCCUUCUACCAAUCCCCAAGGUGCAAUUGGAGUGACCCAUCUGGUUUGCUGAACAACAAAGUCUGUUCUACUGAAUAAUUUGAGACACUGGAGAAGGUAAAGUAUCAAAGUUUCCAAAUCCUGAGUGAAAACAGGGUGUUUGUGCUCUGUUAUUCAUAAUUUUGUCUCGCAGGUUCCUGAAUCUGUUUCUUGUAGAAUCCAGGAGAAGCCCAAGAUGUCUUUGCCAAUCUGACGGUAAAAUAAGAUUGUUAAAAUGUGUUAAAUUCGGAGUCACUUCACCUGUGUGAAAAGUUCAUCUGCUUUAAAAGCUCAGGCAAGUCAGUUCACAAAAUAAUCCCUCCAGAUAAUUUGUAUCUGAUCACUCAGGGCAUCCUUUGGAAAGCAGAUGUGUUAUGCCAGGAUUAUUUGAUAUUGCAACCAUUUGAGAGCAUGUCCUCCAAAAGUUAAGGAAUAUUUUUUCCAGAGUAGACAAGAGCACUUUGGUUUUUUUUUUAACUAAGGGUUUGGAUUCAGUCAGGAAUCUGAAAUAGAAUCCUUGGUGCAACAAGCAGCAACAGACUUCAGAGUUGAUAAUGACUUUGACUUUGGCAGAUAAAGCAGCUCCUGACAAAACUCCCUGACCAUCCUACCGGGGAGUUUAACCACACUGACUCAAAUGGAAAUGGCAAACCAUGCAAAUGCUGCGUUCUCAGCAGGAGGGUGAUUUAUUCCUCUUUUCCAUAACAAUGACACUUCCUCUGUUAGUCGGGGAGUUGAUGGUGGAGAUUUGUGAGCUCCUUACCCACGUCUCCCUUGCCAGGGAGGUUUCUACUGAGCCAAGCAAACAAGACACCACCAGCUUUCCUGCAUCUCAGCAGGGAAGUGUGGCCUGGAAACCUGCUAAAAAUCAAACCCAGGGAAUCCUCCUGAAGUCAAAGCUUUGUGGGGCAUGAAACAGUUCGGAGAGAAAACUCCAAGUAGGGAUUCAGGGUCCCCUUUAACUUGGCUGUGAUCUCUAUAUGAAAUGCUAAUUCCCACUGGGAUGGAACAGGAAGUUUGACAUUACAAGGAUGUGUUUUACCCUGUACAGAUCCAGAAAACUUCUCUGCCCUAAGAACCCCCGUGAUUUGUUUUGUGUGGUUUUCCAGUUCUUCUAAUUUGCUUCCAAAAAGUAUCUUGUAUGUCAAUGUUUAACCUUUUUCUUUCCAAAAUGAAGGUUACUUCAGCUGAAGGAAACAUUCAGUAGGAUGAUUUCUUUAAUUUCCUUAAACUUCAGUAGAUGACUUAGCAUCUGAACAGCUUUUUCUUGGAGCUUUUUUUUCCUUAGGAAAAUACUCUUCAAGGACUCAUGGAGAGUUGAAAAAUACACAAAAUAUCUCUAAACCAAAUUCAUUUCACAUCUGUAUGACUGGAAAAACUUAAGUAUGUUUAAAAACCUUACCGUGUAGAGAAAAAGAAUGUGAGGAAAACCUUGCUUGAUAUUAAAGUUGCUUUGUAAUAACCUCAUUUGUCAAGUUUUAAAGAACUUCUGAGGGUUUUGAGAUUAAAAGCUCAAAUGUCACUCCCACUCUCCUGAACUUCCUAUUGAACACACUGGAAAUAGAUGGCACAAGCAGCAUUCUGAUAACACCUGACUCAGGCAUUGUAAACAGAGCUGAACAAUGAAUUUUUAGAGCAAUCAGAUGUUUUAUCUUUAUUUUUUCCUUUCUGUCUCAAGCCAGGCUUUUCCGUAUUUUGUUUAACAGCCAAAUUUCAAACCCCUGAUCACUGAUCUUACAGAAGAUGGUGGUACAGAAACUGUUGUUUUUUUGUGAAAAUACAAAAUGCAAACCUGUAACAAAUUCAGUAAAGCCUCUGAAGAGAUGCAGCCAACAAGAAAUUCUGAAGUGUUUUUAUUUGGAGAGAAACCUUUAUCCCAAAAUAUUUUGCUCUGAUGAUCAGUUAAGGACUGUGAGGGACACUUCCUCUGAUCCUGCCUGAAAUCAAAAAGACUUUCUUUUUCUUAAGUGUGAGACUUGUGCUACAGGAAAAUAGCCCAGAGCAGCAGAAUAAGGAAAAUGCUGUGAAACAUCAGCAAAUGUUGGAGCUGUUGAACAGUAACAGGGAAGAAACACAUUCCUGAAAUCAAGGAAUGCUUUAAAAAGUAACAGCGUAAACAGGAAAAAGAAGAAACUAUAUGGAUCUAGCAAAGAAUAUCUUGGGAAGCAAGUGAUAAAAAUAGGAUGCUACAGAGCAGUAGGAGGAGGUGGCUGUAAUUAUUAAAUGGAUGUUGAGAAGAAAUUCCCAAAAAUUGAUCAAACCAGAAAUUCUACAGAUUUAGAGCUGGGGCUCUGGUAGGUUUGGCACUAAAGUAAAUUGUUCUUAUGAUUUUAGUAAACAGUCUAAGGGAUCUGCUGUAUUUGUAAAACACUCUUGAGAUAAAAGUCUGGUACCUUUACCAGCUCUGUUCCACAAUUUAUUGUCAUGACUAAGGCCAGAAAAUCGAGGUCCCUUCCUUGAGCCCUCAUGUUCCAUAACAUGCCACCAGGAUCAGUCGAAAUCCUAAUGAGUUAAAUCUCAUCCAUUUCAACUUCGUGAAAACAAAUUGCUUUUUGAUUGAGGGGCUAGAAAUUACACAGCCUAAUUUAUGCACACGAAUCUUCAAAGGGAAGAGCCUCACAACAAACGUCACCUCGAACUUGUCCAAGAUGUCACCCUUAAAUUACUGAGCUUAAAACCUGGCCUAGUUUGGUUGCAAAAGGUCAAAUGUGCGGGUGGCAGAACACGCAGUACUUAUCAAGCCAGCAGCUGAAAUGUUAGUGCAGGUCCCAGCUAACAGCACAGAUCUGACUGGGAGCAUCUUCUGCAUGAUUUGAUCACUUAAGGAGAGGAAUUGAAAAGAGCCUGCAGAACAAAAGAGGAGUGGUUGUUAUUCGAGCUCCUUCGUGCCUCUGUUUUCUCGUAGGCUGAAUCACGCAGCUGGUUUGGGUGAGGGAAGAGCCAUUUCUGAUUGGGCUGAGCAGAUUUUGGAAAUAUUCAGUGGUUUCUAUUUAUCUGGCUUUUUUUUUUAUAUCUCUUUAUUGUGUUUCAGUCACCAUGGUUUCCUUUCUUGAAGUCUCUUUAUACAUCACCUCUUUUACAAAGCCCUCCGUCUUUACCUUCCAGUGUGUUUGAAAAUGAGGUUGGUCAUUUCAGGGCUGAUGACAGCUGGUACCUCUUGUCUGACAGAAUUGAGAUUAAAAGUGUGAUGGAAGUAAAAGGAAAUCUAUCCUCAUCCAGGAUGAUCUCCAGAAUAAAUGCUCCAGAAUUCCUUUAAUAUUACGAUGUUUCCUAUGGAGAUUAUACAAUGGUGUCCGGUAUUAAAAACUGCUCCUCAGUAUUUGAAUUUUUUUCAAAGAGGAGAGAAACUUUAAUGCAUUUUUUGAAGAAAUUACCAGAUAAUCAAAUUUUAAUCAAAAUCAAACUUUUUUGUUCUUGCUAUUCUGCCUUAGCAUAGCAUACCAGGUAAAAAACAGUGACUGUGCCUAUCCCUUUCUAUUUUUAUCUAGGAUACAUCCCUUCCUUUUCUAUUCCGGGUUAGAAUAUUGUACAUAAAUGAAGUCUUGAACUUGAACUUUAGAAACUAUCAGGAUAUUUUUUCUUCCAAAGGAUUAUUAAGCUACUUUUAUUAGCUGCCUAACUGGAAGGAGAUCCUAUGUUUUAUGCACUUCUGAUGUGUUGAUUUCCCUGUCUGGAACAUAUCUUUAUCUCUGUAUAAGGAUAGAACAUCCAACUGUUGAAAAAUAGUAAUGUGCAGUAUAAUUAUUAUAAUUUCCAGCCCAAUUUUGAAAGAGCAGGUAGCUCAAAGUGCAUCUGUAUCUAAAUAAGACACUCUAUCCUAUAACUGCAAGAAUAUUAAAAUGAUUCUGCUCUCUGCCAUUGGAUUGUGGAGUUAAUUUCUGUGGAGCCAGGAAUUAAGUGAUUAUUGUAGCAAUUGGCUUGCAUGAAUCUUGGCCAUAAAGACUUACAAAUUGCAAUAUGGGAGAGUUUUAAACUGUAACAUCUCACAUUUCUCUCCUCACAUUCAAUAAAAUGUUUGACUCUUCUGUGAUGUUUCAUCAGGAUGUGUGGCUUCAUUAUCUCUGUGUUCCAGACACAUCUCGUGAAGGGAAGGUUUUAAAUCAUCCCAAUGAGGAGUUUUUUUCAUAUUUUCCUUUUUCCUUUCAAAAGAUUUCACAGUUCCCACGUUCCAGAGGAAAUCCUUGGGAAAGAGUCUAACAAGGAAGGCUAUCACACCUUUCUCUGGCAAAAAUUGUGAUGUGUUCAUUUAAAGAUGUAGAGCUAAACCAGAUAUCCCUGAGCGAGUUGGGAAUAAAAUGAUGGGAAUUUAUCAGAGCAGAUGAAAAUCAUUGUUUGCCUGCUGGAGAGGUGAAAAGAACCUGGACUGGCACUCAGAGUUCUCACAAAAGUCAGUAGGAUUUGAAUAAACACAGACAGCAGGGUAAUAUCCUUGGAGGUUAUUUCUGUUUCAGAUGAAUCCUCCUAUUCUGCGUUACCACCUGUGCCAUCCCUUGUCUGACAAAUUAAAAAGAAGCAUCACAGAUAUUUUAAUAAAAGUCACAGAAUGCUGCCGAUAUUUUAAAGGACAAGGAGGUGCUGCAGAUUAUUGAAAUUCAGAGUAAUGAAUAACAGCUAUAAAAUAUUUCAGCCUCUGAGCCUUGCUGAACAGCACAAUUCAUCCCCUAAAAACAAAUCAAUAAAUGCAAAACAAAGCAAAAGGAUAUUUAAGAAAACAAUAACCAAACUGUAACAUGUUUAUUGGAGGAAGGACCAAAGAGAAAAUUAUAAUUUGGAUGUUCACCCAUUGUUAUGCUACUGAAAAGUUGAGCAAGUAUGGACAGAAAAUAAAAUGAAAAAACUUUGUUCAGUAGGAACUUUGCUAUCAGCUUACAAAAAGACAUCACUAAUCCUGACUCCUUUAUAUAAUUCUGUUGACAGCUUUUAUCAUAUUCCCACGAAGCAGUGAGUGAUGUUGACUGAAAGGAUUCAGGCAUGUUUCCAUUAUUAAUAUUGUACUGGUAUCUAUGAGCAGUUUAAUAUGAGAGCUUAUAAAAACCCACUUCUAGAUACAGAGUUUUAAACUUGCUUCAUUCCCCUGCAACACUGUUAGAAUCUGUUUUAUGUGUCUUUUAUUUGGGGAGAUAAAACAUUUAGUUUUCAAUCAGUGGAAUCCUCUCUAAAUACACUAUUGACAUGUGCUGUCAGCUGACAUCUGCUUCAUAAUUAAUAAUCCAGCUGUUAACAUGGUUUUAUCUAAAGAAAAUCAGUUUGUUGUUUGAUGUUCCAGAUGAAAAUGAUGACUUCUUGACUUCCCAUUCUCAUCUUCAGAAGGCAGAACAUUUUCUUCUGAUGUGGAUGACUCUGUUGAUGUGUGCUGGGUGUUUACUGACUUCUUAACUUCCAAAGUUUCACCCUUGUCACGCUCCUUUUCCAGCUCUUGCUUUGCCCCCUUUUUGCCCCAGAAUUUCAGCCUCUGCCUGGCUCCCCAGACACUUGCACCGAUCUGGAGACCCCUCUGCACAAACCUGAUCCUUACGUGAGUAAUUACACUGAAGUUAAAUGAGUUUAAUCUUCAAGGUUUGUGUCUCACAGUGGACAACACUUCCUGUGUUGUUGAAUUAUAGUUGAAAAGUAGAAUUUACACUAAACAACAAGAAAUGGAGUUAGGAAAGACCUUCAGAUACAUCUUAUCUGUUGUUUUACCUUUAAACGUCUUCCCUCAUCUUUCCCUGUGUGUCUCAUCUUUCCCUGUUCCAGGCAUUUAUUCCAGGAUUUGUCUUUCUGGUAGAAUCUUGUCUGGUAGUUUCCUGUUGACAUUUGUUUCCUUGGAACAAACCACCCUGAUUUUGCUCUACUAUUUCCUCUCUUAACUAAACUUCUGAGAAUUGUCGAAUUUGCUGCUUUAUGGUGACUUUACAACAAGUUUCCAGCUUCCCCUUCUCCAGGGCAAGGCAGGAAGAUUCAAUCUCUGUGUCAUUCUCUGCUGGACCCCAAAAUCAAGGUCAAUGACUGUGAACACAACUAAAUUUUGGUGUAAUCCCAGUAGGAAAACCCCAAAGCCUCUCUGAUCUUGAACAGUCCAAAAGAACUUUCUAAUUAAUCACAACUUCCUUUUUAUUCCUGUUUCCUUUCAGCAAGUGGUAGACACUUGAUUUAAAUAAAUCAAGAAAAGGAAAACCUGUGAUUCUUAUUGUUAUGGUGCAGAUCUCCAUCUAAAAAAGGGAGUUUCUUGGGCAGAAAUUACAGAAUUGGGUGAAUUACACUGAGCUGUGCUGGCCUGGAGAUAACAACAAACCAAAUGUAUAAGGCAGCGCUGGCAUUCCUGGCUGAGGUUUGUGAUCCUUGGGUGUCUAUGGCACAUAAAUUUCCAAAUUCCAAGCCCUGUGAUGAUUGACUCCAACCUCUGUAGAAGCAUCACUGGAAGUUGUUAAGGGCUACUCUUUUACAGCUUUGGAAGGAUUUUAUCAGACACACAGAACACUAAUGUUAGCCCUGCAAAAGGUGAUCUGAAUGUACAGGAACUUCAGCUUCACCCUUUGCUUCAGUGAAAUUAGAGGUUUUUGGCAAAAAAGUCUGUUUUUCUGACAUGCUUUUGCCUCAAUUGCAAACCUGCUUCAGUUAAUCCAUUUUACUCACACUGAAUUUUGCCAUCUGAAAUGUUGUUAGAAGAAAAGAAGAUGAUCAACAGCAAGUCUCUCCUGCUACAAUCGAGUCCUGUCCACUUUGCCUGGCAGAAAGGCACCAUUUUUAAACAGUUCAGCAAUUCAGAACACUUUUUGUACAAUCGGGAUGGGAUAAAAGGGAAAUGAGUGGCUCAGACCUGGUCCACAGCUGUGAAAAUCAUUGACAAAACUCCAGGUAUUAUGUAAAGAUUUAGAUUCACUCCACCAGUGAGCAAGAAAUUCAUCCCACAAAUGUUUUGUUGACCUUGUGCCGCACUUUGGGACUGCAGGUCUGUGCAGCAUCAAACCAGCUAAGGUUGAUGAUAACUUGAUAUUUCCAUCCUGCUUCCCAGAAUGCUCGCAGUUAACAGCUUUUUUUCCUUCUUUUUUUUGAUGAAGCCAUUUUCAGGCAGGGUCAAACCAGAGGAAUAUGGAUAUAAAUGGGCUCUUUAAUUGCAAACAACUCCACAGCUUUUGCAUAAAGCACCUUGGAGCGUUUGACUGCAUUAUUUGCAAGUAUGAGACAAAUGGCUGAGCACUUAAAGUGUCACUCCCAAAGCCACCAGUGACAAAGGAAGUGACUUAGAGCAUGAACUGCCUGCGUGGGAGCACCAGCCACACUCCCCUUUGCCCCAGGGGACAGCUGCCCCUCUGCCCCCAGGGCACUGUGCAGACAGAAGCUUUCGUCUGAGAAAUUACUGUUCCUUGCCUGACGAGCUCUGAAUUCCAGAGGUAUCACAAACCAGAGUCAGCUUCGUGGGAAACGUUCUCAUCUCCUGCCCAGGUUGUCUCCUGCCACCUCGUUGCAUUUGCUGUUGGCAGAUCAAAAGGAGUUCAGGGCUUUUAAAGCUAAAUUAGCUCUCCAGCACGAGGGUGAUACCCAGAGAGCAGAGCCAGAGGGUGCAGAGGUUUCCCAUCUCCCGAAAGCGCCAGGAAGGUCAGUUCUCUUCAAAGAGACUGGAAUAGCUGAGGAGGGGAGGAGGGCAAGGAGACCCUCAGGGUAUGUCUGUCCUGCAGAGCAGAGGGUCAAUGUCCCCAUCCAUGCACGUCACCUCUUUCUGACCCGGUGCUGAUGCACAGGAAUUCUAGGAAAAUCCAUGGCUCUUCUUUUUUUUUAAAUAGAUUGCCUAGAAAGCAGACUUAUGGAAGAUCUCAAGGAUAAAUGCAGGCUGUGUGUUUAACUAGAACACAGAAUCCAUCCUCUUCCUCUUCCUCCUCCUCCUCUUUCUCUUCCUCUCCCUUUUGUUUUAUUGUUGUUACUACCUUAGCUUGGAUUCUUGCACUCAUCCUUUUUUUCCUUUUUGCUGCCGUUUCUUGUGUUUUUCAAGGUUAGAUUCUAUUUCAUUCUCAUCCCUCUUAUUUUCAGGUUACUGAAAUGAAAAAAAUGUUCCAGUCUUCAACAAAAGUCUUGCAAAUUUGCUGGAUAUAUUCACUUUCAAAAGUUUUCUAGGAAUACCUACUCACUGUUUGCCAUCCCGUGCACUUGGUUGUGGUUCAAAGAUGUCAAAAUCGGGCUUUUUCUGAGGGAGUUCAAAAAUUGUCCCGGUCUUGAAACUUGGUUCAGGCAUUUCCUUCUACCAGGAAUAAUUAGGGAAAAAAAAGGUGAAACAAACAUGAGGUUACACAGGGCCAACAUUAUAACCAAAUAAGUCAUUCUUGUCGCUUUUUUAACAAUUGCCCUUCUGCUUAUUUGUCACAGCAUCACAUCAAUCCCCGAGGCUUCUGCCAAGAACCCAGGCUCUUAUUUAAGUUUAAUAUAUGUUAUCAUUUGAGGUUGGCUGAGAGUUAUUCUUACAUAAUUAUAAGGCAAAUAACUCUUAUUUCGACUUUUUUAUCAUUAUUUAGAGAUGCCCCAGGCCCUGUAGCACGUCCUUGUGAAAAUGUGGCAGCCACAAAAGCAAUGACUGAAAUGAGUGUACUUUGCAUAAUGCCAGCAGUCAAACCCCUUAAAAGCUCAAUAACACAAAACACUAAUGGCUGGACUUUUUCAGACAUCCCAGCUCCUUUAGCAGCUGUAAUAUUAUUAGUUUCUUCUGUUCACAGCAAAUUUGAUAUGCAAAAAGUUGGGGUAAGAGACAGAUUUAGAGAAUAUGAAAAAGGCCUGGAAAAGAUUAUUCACAACAGCAAUUAGGGGUGGCUGAAACUUGGGGCAUUUUUGUGCUUUGUAAACAGAAUAUUUUGGGUUUUUUUCUAGAAGUUAAUUCAGGCCAAGCACUUUAUUUGGGGGUUGUUGUGUGGGUGGAAUCACGUCGGUGGCAGGUGGGUGGUGGCAGUGCCUGCCCCAGCUGGCUGCUCACAGCCAGAGGAGUCUUCCUGGUAUUCCAGGCAGUGGGAAUCUGUGUUGUGUAAAGGGUUUAUGACUGGCAGCUUUGAGAAGCAGUGGAGCACAGAGUGGUUCAGCAUGGCAGGACCUGAUUUGCACCAUGGAUCCAGCUGGCCUUGGAUCAUUAAAUCAUUCCCUGCCUGCUCUGGCCAUGGUGUUUUCCUGUCCUUACUUUGGCAAAAAACCCCUUGGUUUCCAUCAGGCUCCAUUUUGUUGAUGUUUUGGGUUUCCUAACUCAGCUCCAGUCGGUUAAACUUGGGCUGUUGGGCUGCUGAGAGGACAUUGGUCUGCAAAACUGUUAAUGGCAACCUCUGUGAACACCCCUGCUUUACUUACAGAACUGUGGCUGCUUUGAAAGUUUUCUUAAUUAAGUCUCCAAAAAUUCCUGAAAUGCCUUCAUGGGAUGUUCUUUUACCAUAAAGCAAACACCUGAGCCCCUUGCUAGCAAGUGAGUCUUGAAUCAGGGAUGGAAUAGAACCUUUUCUGUUUCUCAGUCCUGCACUAUAUUUAUUAAAUCUCCUCCUGAGAUGUAACAGAGAUUGAGGGCUGGGUUCUCACUUGACGUAAAACCCAGCCAUGCUCAGAGGCAAUUAGGGAGGCUGAAGUCAGAAUGACUUGCAGGAUCAGGUUCCUACUCCUUUCUUAAAAUUCUCUGUUGCAUUUUAUAUGGACUGACUGGCUAAACUCAGUGCUGCUUAAUUUAAAAAUGGGGACUUGUAACCCUGAGCUUUCUUUUUUUGCCUCCUUUUAUUUUGAAACCAAUUGAAGGAGCGGGGUAAGUGUAUAAUGGUGUGAUAAAUCACUCAAUUUACAUUUGGCAGAAUAAAAUUAGCAUUGCCAUUACUUCAUAAUAGGGCAUGGCUAUGACUAUGGAAUUGAUUUCAGAGUCAGGCUGAUCCAUUACAAUUUUGUUAAUAUUGAAUUUUAAAUAGGAUGAUGAAUUGCUAAUCAAUGCAGUUAAAGAAACAACUUAGGGGAAAAAGCCCUACUGUUUACUUUAUAAAUUGUGUGUCACUUACUGUGUCAUUUCCCUGGGCUUCCAUAUUAGGAACUCCAUAUUUGUAACGUUCCAGCUACAUCAUGGUCAUUUGUGCAAUUCAGGGAACAGCCUUCGUUGGACUAAGUGAGAAAAUUUUCACUCAUUUAAAUUCACUAUAAACUUCCACCAUUUUUGGUACACUAAGGGCUUGCUCUGAAAAGAUGGCCCAGCACUGUUGUGCUGUUUCAUAACCUAAAUGAGCUAUUCUAAAAACAAAUGGAAGGAAACUUUGUCCAUUUCCUUCUUUGUGCAAAAUACCAUUUGUUUCUCUCAGCUGUGCAUAGUUCUUGCUCCAACAUAUACAUGGAGUUUAGAUUUAUGAGUUUAUCCAAAACCUGAAUCUUCUUCCUAGGGUAAAAUGAGGCAAAGAUCCUGGUAAUGUUUAUGAAGGUCAAAGCCACACUUUUUUUUUCUUCAUGUAAAUGUAGAUAAUCUAGUUUGGGUUAAAAAAAAUUGCAGAUAUCUGUAAAUCUCACAAAUUUUGGCAGUUGUGCUUAACUGUAAGGGAAUUAAUUUUAUCCCAAGACACUUUCUUUCUUCUGGACACAUCUUUUGGCUGUGGGGAUUUUUUUUCUGUUGAACUGAGACAGAUACCAAGACAGGCAGAUACAUUGCUGUAUAUUCCCCUUUUCCUGGUGUCUAAAAAAGAGCCAUCCAGUCCCUUUAAUGAGAACUCAGAGCAGUAGAUCAACUGGCCUUUAAACCUCAAAAGAUGACCAGGCAACACUUUUAAAGGGAUAAAUUAUUUUUUUCUGUCAGGAAGGUGUGGACCAGUGCUUGGGGAGCAGUGUACGAAAUAACUCAUCCUUGGCACACAGAAUGUCAGGAUCAAUAGAUACAACAUCUUCUGUGACUGGAAACUGUAAACAGAGAAAUAAAUACUCCUUGUGCAGUUUGAAUUUA